rnacentral:sRNA from 1 species
AUUCUGAAGAAAAAGUUUAUUUUGUGUUUGUAAUUAGUGGUUGCUGUGGAGUCUUAUUAGGAAAGUUUAUUUUCAAGGUGGGGUGGGGUUGUUACAUUCCUGUAAUAUAAAUAUCCUGUGAGUUAAAAUGAGUGGAACAAAAAAGUCCUAUGAUUGUCAUUCAUUAAAUUAAUCUGAGAUUUACUAAAGAGUUCUAAAAGUCAUGAAGCACUACAGCAAAUGUCUUUUAUGUGCCCCUUUUGUCAUAAAACAGAUCCCAUGUGCAUUUUAACUCUCAGUCCAAUAAACAACUAAACAACUUAGCAUAGAUAAUAACAUGUUUGGAAUGAAGGAAAAAAACUAGACAGAGGCUCUUGAAGCAUGGUCAAAAAGAAAAUAAGUUGAUUAUCUGGUUGCCCAGAGAAGAAAACUGUACAGCGCUUGAGAAAAGCAACUUAUGAAAUUGUUUUGUAGGAUUCUAAAGCUGAAAGUGGAUAAAAACAAAAUGGUAGCCACAUCCGGUGUAAAAAAAGCUAUAUUUGAUCGACUGUGUAAACAACUAGAGAAGAUUGGACAGCAGGUCGACAGAGAACCUGGAGAUGUAGCUACUUCACCACGGAAGAGAAAGAAGAUAGUGGUUGAAGCCCCAGCAAAGGAAAUGGAGAAGGUAGAGGAGAUGCCACAUAAACCACAGAAAUAUGAAGAUCUGACACAGGAUUAUGAAGAAUGGAAAAGAAAAAUUUUGGAAAAUGCUGCCAGUGCUCAAAAGGCUACAGCAGAGUGAUUUCAGCUUCCAGACUGGUAUACAUUCCAAACUGAUAGUACAUUGCCAUCUCCAGGAAGACUUGACGGCUUUGGGAUUUUGUUUAAACUUUUAUAAUAAGGAUCCUAAGACUGUUGUCUUUAAAUAGCAAAGCAGCCUACCUGGAGGCUAAGUCUGGGCAGUGGGCUGGCCCCUAGUGUGAGCAUUAGACCAGCCACAGUGCCUGAUUGGUAUAGCCUUAUGUGCUCUCCUACAAAAUGGAAUUGGAGGCCGGGCGCAGUGGCUCACGCCUGUAAUCCCAGCACUUUGGGAGGCCGAGGUGGGUGGAUCACCUGAGGUCAGGAGCUCGAGACCAGCCUGGCCAACAUGGUGAAACCCCAUCUCUACUAAAAAUACAAAAAUUAGCCAGGUGUGGUGGUGCAUGCCUGUAAUCCCAGCUCCUCAGUAGGCUGAGACAGGAGCAUCACUUGAACGUGGGAGGCAGAGGUUGCAGUGAGCCGAGAUUGCACCGCACUCCAGCCUGGGUGACAGAGCGAGACUUAUCUCAUAAAUAAAUAGAUAGAUACUCCAGCCUGGGUGACAGAGCGAGACUUAUCUCAUAGAUAGAUAGAUAGAUAGAUAGAUAGAUAGAUAGAUAGAUAGAUAGAUAGACGGAAUUGGAGCCAUUUUGCUUUAAGUGAAUGGCAGUCCCUUAUUCAGAAUAUAAAAUUCAGUCUGAAUGGCAUCUUACAGAUUUUACUUCAAUUUUUGUGUACGGUAUUUUUUAUUUGACUAAAUCAAUAUAUUGUACAGCCUAAGUUAAUAAAUGUUA